rnacentral:rRNA from 1 species
UUGCUGCGUUUGCUGACGAGUGGCGGACGGGUGAGUAAUGUCGGGGAAACUGCCCGAUGGGGGGGGAUAACUGCUGGAAACGGUAGCUAAUACCGCGUAACGUCGCAAGACCAAAGAGGGGGACCUUAGGGCCUCUUGCCAUCGGAUGUGCCCAGAUGGGAUUAGCUAGUAGGUGGAGUAAAGGCUCACCUAGGCGACGAUCCCUAUCUGGUCUGAGAGGAUGACCAGCCACACUGGAACUGAGACACGGUCCACACUCCUACGGGAGGCAGCAGUGGGGAAUAUUGCACAAUGGGCGCAAGCCUGAUGCAGCCGUGCCGCGUGUAUGAACAACGCCGUCGGGUUGUAAAGUACUUUCAGCGGGGAGGAAGGGAGUAAAGUUAAUACCUUUGCUCAUUGACUUUACCCGCUUAAGAAGCACCGGCUAACUCCGUGCCAGCACCCGCGGUAAUACGGAGGGUGCAAGCGUUAAUCGGAAUUACUGGGCGUAAAGCGCACGCAAGCGGUUUGUUAACUCAGAUGUGAAAUCCCCGGGCUCAACCUGGGAACUGCAUCUGAUACUGGCAAGCUUGAGUCUCAUACAGGGGGGUAUAAUUCCCGGUGUAGCGGUGAAAUGCGUAGAUAUCUGGAGGAAUACCGGUGGCAAAUGCGGCACUCUGGGCGA